rnacentral:RNase_P_RNA from 1 species
GGCAGUCGGAUAGCUGCACUUUGGAAGGGAAAAUCCAAUAGUGAGGAAAGUCCGAGCAUCAAAGGAACAAAACACCGGAUAACGUCCGGCUGGAGAAAUCCACGGGAAAGUGCCACAGAAAAUUACCGCCUGAUUUUUUCAGGUAAGGUUGAAAAGGUGGGGUAAGAGCUCACCGCAAGGGCUGCAAAGUUUCUUGGUCAAGGUAAACCCUGUUUGAUGCAAGACCAAGUUAGGGGAGUGUUGCUAAGCAACGCUUUACGGAGUGUUCCUAAUCCACCCCAGAGGUAGGUCGCGGUAAGCUGGAUGGAGACAUUCAGAUCAGAUGAAUAGCUAUCCCCUGUUUCGGCAGGGACAGAACUCGGCUUAUAGACUGCCUU